rnacentral:rRNA from 1 species
CCUACGGGAGGCAGCAGUGGGGAAUAUUGGACAAUGGGCGAAAGCCUGAUCCAGCCAUGCCGCGUGUGUGAAGAAGGCCUUCGGGUUGUAAAGCACUUUCAGUGGGGAAGAAAGCCUUGGGGCUAAUACCCUCGAGGAAGGACAUCACCCACAGAAGAAGCACCGGCUAACUCCGUGCCAGCAGCCGCGGUAAUACGGAGGGUGCGAGCGUUAAUCGGAAUUACUGGGCGUAAAGCGCGCGUAGGCGGUCUGAUAAGCCGGUUGUGAAAGCCCCGGGCUCAACCUGGGAACGGCAUCCGGAACUGUCAGGCUAGAGUGCAGGAGAGGAAGGUAGAAUUCCCGGUGUAGCAGUGAAAUGCGUAGAGAUCGGGAGGAAUACCAGUGGCGAAGGCGGCCUUCUGGACUGACACUGACGCUGAGGUGCGAAAGCGUGGGUAGCAAACAGGAUUAGAUACCCGAGUAGUC